rnacentral:rRNA from 1 species
UACGUAAGGGGCAAGCGUUGUCCGGAUUUAUUGGGCGUAAAGAGCGUGUAGGCGGCUAUGCAGGUCCGCUGUGAAAACUCGAGGCUCAACCUCGAGACGUCGGUGGAAACCGCAUGGCUAGAGUCCGGAAGAGGAGAGUGGAAUUCCCGGUGUAGCGGUGAAAUGCGCAGAUAUCGGGAAGAACACCCGUGGCGAAGGCGGCUCUCUGGGACGGUACUGACGCUGAGACGCGAAAGCGUGGGGAGCGAACAGG